UAUGUGCACACUCACAGGAAAUAUGUUCUAAAUAAAGUCUCUACACUUAAUUAAGCCACGUUUGACAGGAAAAAACUUGAGAAAUACUGCUCAGUGAACAGUUUGGACAUUCGGUACAGUCAUCCUCCUUGCUGCGCAAAUAUAAUGAAGAAGCUGUCCAUAAUGGUAUUCUUACGGGAACUACAUUUUCACCAUUGUUGAGGAAAAAAAAGCAGAAUAUAUUUUCAGAACGCACCACGUGGCUGUUCAGACAUGCAAACGGAUAAAGAUACACAGCAUCAGUAGUUGUGAACACUAAUAGUGCAUGACGAGACUUGUUUGUGAAAGGUUAGAAUCUCUGAGUACGAAGGUGUUUCCAGGAAAGCGAUAAUUUAAUGUCAUUCUUUAUAACUAUAAAACGUCAACAUGGCAACAGAGACAACUUCGUGUACAUGAUGAUGCAUCUCCAUUUUACUGGUUGUUAUCUGAAAGGUUUCUGUUAACAAAACUCCAAAUAUAAGUACAUGGUACCAAGUGUGGGCAUAGGGUUUUCGAUAACUCGCACCAUGUUGAUGAAAAUUUUCCUAAAUUAGAAAAGUUUCUAAUGAUUGGAAACUAAUUAUUUCAAAAAAUGGUGCCAACAUAGAGAGAAAAUAGUCUUCGAGAAGCUGUUACUGCAGUUGAAGAAAGUAUGUAUGUAAAAUGAACGACCUGCCAUUCAUUUCGAGUAUAUGACGUUUCUUUCUAUUACAUUUUUCUUUGUGUGUAUUAACAGUUUAUAGGACUUUAACACGAUUUCAUGAGUAUGUCGCGUGAAAAAAAAUAUUAUUUUAAAUU